GCCAUUGUAGCUCAGCAGUAGAACAGCUGCUUUGUGUGCAGAAGGCCCUGGGUACCAUCCCUGGCAGCAUCUCCAGGCA